CAUUAUUGAAUAAACAUGGGAUCAGGCUGUUGCUGGCUCUUCGGGGCAUGUGCACGCCUAUUCCAUUUUUAAUUUUACCACCUGUGCACCACAUGUAGAUUUGAAAUUGACAACCUUUGAGCACGGCUCAGUGAGGGGUUUGCUGUGUACAUACCAGCUUUUCCCUGUUUCUUGUAAAUUUCAAGUCUAUGAUUUUUGAUCAACCACAUGUAAUUUGGGAUUGUAGAAAAAUUGUGGGCACUACUUAUCAGUGUGUCUCACGCAUAAAUAAUAUACAACUUUCAACAACGGAUCUCUUGGCUCUCGCAUCGAUGAAGAACGCAGCGAAAUGCGAUAAGUAAUGUGAAUUGCAGAAUUCAGUGAAUCAUCGAAUCUUUGAACGCACCUUGCGCUCCUUAGUAUUCUGAGGAGCAUGCCUGUUUGAGUGUCGUGAAAUUCUCAACCUUUGUGACUUUGAUUCAAGUUCAAAGGCUUGGAUUGUGGAAAUUGCUGGCUCAUUUAAGAAUCAGCUAUUCUGAAAUACAUUAGCAAGAUCAAGGCCAAUUCAUCUGCGAUAUGAUAAUUAUCUAUAUCUGAGAUGAAAUUAUCAGGCAAUAUCUAGCUUACUGAAGUUUGUUUUGAACGAACUAUUUUUUGACACAUUUGACCUCAAAUCAGGUAGGACUACCCGCUGAACUUAAGCAUAUCAAUAAGCGGAGGAAAAGAAACUAACAAGGAUUCCCCUAGUAACUGCGAGUGAAGCGGGAAAAGCUCAAAUUUAAAAUCUGGUGGUCAUGGGCUACCCGAGUUGUAAUCUAGAGAAGCGUUAUCCGCGCUGGACCGUGUAUAAGUCUCCUGGAAUGGAGCGUCAUAGAGGGUGAGAAUCCCGUCUUUGACACGGAUUACCGGGGCUUUGUGAUGCGCUCUCAAAGAGUCGAGUUGUUUGGGAAUGCAGCUCUAAAUGGGUGGUAAGUUCCAUCUAAAGCUAAAUAUUGGCGAGAGACCGAUAGCGAACAAGUACCGUGAGGGAAAGAUGAAAAGAACUUUGGAAAGAGAGUUAAACAGUACGUGAAAUUGUUGAAAGGGAAACGCUUGAAGUCAGUCGCAUUGAUUAGGGAUCAACCAAGCUUUUUGCUUGGUGCACUUCCUGAUUAAUGGGUCAGCAUCAAUUUUGAUCAAUGGAAAAAGGUUGAGGGAAUGUGGCAUCUCCGGAUGUGUUAUAGCCCUUGGUCAUAUACAUUGGUUGGAAUUGAGGAACUCAGCACGCCGCAAGGCCGGGU
rnacentral:rRNA from 1 species